rnacentral:rRNA from 1 species
UGGGGAAUAUUGCACAAUGGAGGGAACUCUGAUGCAGCGACGCCGCGUGAACGAAGAAGGCUUUCGAGUCGUAAAGUUCUUUUAUAUGGGAAGAUAAUGACGGUACCAUAAGAAGAAGCCCCGGCUAACUACGUGCCAGCAGCCGCGGUAAUACGUAGGGGGCUAGCGUUGUCCGGAAUCACUGGGCGUAAAGGGUUCGCAGGCGGAAAUGCAAGUCAGGUGUAAAAGGCAGUAGCUUAACUACUGUAAGCAUUUGAAACUGCAUAUCUUGAGAAGAGAAGAGGUAAGUGGAAUUUUUAGUGUAGCGGUGAAAUGCGUAGAUAUUAAAAAGAAUACCGGUGGCGAAGGCGACUUACUGGGCUCAUUCUGACGCUGAGGAACGAAAGCGUGGGUAGCAAACAGG